AUUGAACGCUGGCGGCAUGCCUAACACAUGCAAGUCGAACGGCAGCAUGGUUUAGUUUACUAGACUGAUGGCGAGUGGCGGACGGGUGAGUAACGCGUGGGAAUAUACCCUAAAGAGUGGGAUAACUUGAGGAAACUGAAGCUAAUACCGCAUGAGCUCUGAGGAGGAAAGCUGGGGACUGUAAAAGGCCUGGCGCUUUAGGAAUAGCCUGCGUCCGAUUAGCUAGUUGGUGGGGUAAAGGCCUACCAAGGCGAUGAUCGGUAGCUGGUCUGAGAGGAUGACCAGCCACACUGGAACUGAGAGACGGUCCAGACUCCUACGGGAGGCAGCAGUGGGGAAUUUUGGACAAUGGGGGGAACCCUGAUCCAGCAAUGCCGCGUGUGUGAAGAAGGCCUGAGGGUUGUAAAGCACUUUCGUUGGGGAGGAGGGUUUCUAGGUUAAGAGCUAAGUAACUGGACGUUACCCAAAGAAGCAGCACCGGCUAACUCCGUGCCAGCAGCCGCGGUAA
rnacentral:rRNA from 1 species